UUUGUCGUGGCCUCGAAUUCUGUC
rnacentral:miRNA from 1 species